rnacentral:rRNA from 1 species
UCGGUCCAGGAUGGACUCACGGCCUAUCAGCUUGUUGGCGGGGUAACGGCCCACCAAGGCGACGACGGGUAGCCGGCCUGAGAGGGUGACCGGCCACACUGGGACUGAGACACGGCCCAG